AUUGAACGCUGGCGGCAUGCUUUACACAUGCAAGUCGAACGGCAGCGCGGGGGCAACCCUGGCGGCGAGUGGCGAACGGGUGAGUAAUGUAUCGGAACGUAUCCUGUAAUGGGGGAUAACCAGUCGAAAGAUUGGGUAAUACCGCAUACGCACGAGAGUGGAAAGUAGGGGAUCGCAAGACCUUACGUUAUAGGAGCGGCCGAUAUCUGAUUAGCUAGUUGGUGGGGUAAAGGCCUACCAAGGCGACGAUCAGUAGCUGGUCUGAGAGGAUGAUCAGCCACACUGGGACUGAGACACGGCCCAGACUCCUACGGGAGGCAGCAGUGGGGAAUUUUGGACAAUGGGCGAAAGCCUGAUCCAGCCAUGCCGCGUGCGGGAAGAAGGCCU
rnacentral:rRNA from 1 species